CAAUGGGGAUAACUUCGACUGAGGAGAUUGAGUAUGAUCAAACGAAAGCUGAGUACAACAAUGGCGGAGAUUCAUGGAGCUCAUCAAUGAACUGGACGAUCUCUCGUGGUUCUCUUGAAGAUUCCAUUACUUUUGAGUCCUCCGAUCCUCAGAUCGAUGCUGAAUCUACUCAGAUAUCACCGCUUAUUCUUCACAGACCUUCGCCGGAUUCCUCCCCUUGCGAAAUCAAGUUAUGCUUUAUGCAAAAGCAUGAAAUCAGGCAGGUCUAUGUUCGGAGUACUGCUCGUGUUUAUGAGAUAUACUAUGCACCUACUCUGCAGAGCGACAAUGAGUAUCUAUGUACCGUCCGCUGUAGCAUAGCUGAACGAGAUGGAGAAUUUCUCCAAGCUAAUGAGAUUGAAGUAGUUACCCCGCAAUGUUUGGAGGAUUAUGUAGGAAAACCAACAAAAGGUAGAGUCGCAGCUGAAGCCAAUUGCACAAGGGAAGAUGAUUGGGUUGAGGUUAAGGUUCCUGAUGGAAACGGGGUAAGCUGCCUGCAAAAGCACACAACUGGGAAAGAACAAAGAAGUAUUGAGGAUUUAUACGAGGCCACAGCAGAAAUUAGUGAUGCAGAUCCCUGCAUGUCACUUACAAUUCGCUUUUUAUCACUUCCAAAUAAAGAUUCUCUAUGCAUCGACGAAGUUUACAUAUUUGGUGACCCUAUUGACUCUAACGAGGUAGAGACCCCAGCAGCUCCUAUGGAAAACCAAGCUAGUUCUUUUAUGGCCAUGCUUGUUCCCACCCUUCUGCAACUAUCUAAAUCAGGCGUCAGCCAGAAGCAGCAGGAGAAAGAUGUUUCUGAUAGUCAAAGAAAGGAAAAUGAAGUGGGAAUCGCAGUGAGGGCAUCUGAUUUUUCUGAUGCCAAUAAAGAAAAUGAACAGGAAAAGAAGAUGAGUGCUGAUCAUAUAGUGCAGUUGGAUGUCACUGACAAGCCUGUAGCAAAACCCACUCAUUCCAAUCCUCUGAUACACCAGGAGUUAAGUAGAGAGAACCACAAUACCUCCACCACGAGUAAUGAUGCUUUACAAGGUCGUAUUGUAGGAGCCAUUGAACAACUUCUUGACCGAGUGAGCAGAAUUGAAAAUAUUUGCUUGAGAUUUGAAGAAAAGAUGGUUAUUCCAAUGAAUAGCAUGGAGAUGAGACUUCAACGACUGGAGCAGCAAGUAGAAACUCUAGCUAAAAGUUCCCAAUUUUCUGGAGUAGCUUCCUGCAAUAGAAUAACAGCUCCUUCAUUUACUGGCAGUGAGUCCAAUUCUAGCUCUUUGUAUAAUGAUGGAAGUGAAUAUCGUUCAUGUGGGGUAUUGGAGCUGGAGAAAAAGGAUCCCCCUUGCAAUAAGUUGUCCGAACCUUCUGAUGACAUUCCUGUUUCUUCUAAUCCUUCACAUGUUCUUCCAAAUCUUGUGAUUUCUGCCCCUGAGUUUUCAUGUGGAGAGGAUGAAGAAGAAAAUGAUAUUGUUGAAUCAGUAAAGAUAUCUUCUCAAGAGAAGCAAAAGCAAGUUUUAUCUAUUGAUGAUGCUUUAGCUGCAGCACUUUCUGGAUUUUUGUCCACGUCCCACGUUCUUCCACCAGAUGAAGGGACCUUGGAAGUUAUUGCGUCUGGAUCUAUUAGUGAGGGAGUGAAUGAGAAGAAUGAGUUUUCAGAAUCUACCCUAAGUGCUUCAGUUACCGCUCACAACUGUACUCUGGAGGGAAAUGACGACGACAAACCUUCAAAGUAUACUCAAAUUCUUGCAAUUGCAGCUCCUGACUUUACCGAGGAGGAGGACGAAUUUGAGAAUGCAAAUACAAAAAAUGAAAUAGCUUCUCCAAGCACUGGAAGUCAGGACUUUGUUGACCUUAACAGAAGCAAGAGAGUGGAUAACGCAAGUUCAACUGUUGCUUCUGAGACAUAUGCAGAGCAUGAGAAAUUUCUCCAUGAGAAUGUUCAGCUUAAGGAAACUUCUGGAGUAAUUGGUUCGAAAGAUCAUGCUUAUGCACAAGAAAGUAUCUGCAGAUCACAGGAUAAUCCCACUGCUUGUCCUUCAGGUCAAGAUGAUAAGGUUUCAGAGACUAAUGUAAGAGAUUCUACUAAUGAGCCACAGAUGAAUUCUCAUAAUCUAGGAAAUGCUGCUGAAUCUGAAGAAUGUGAUCCUUCAAAAGGUUCUCACUUGGACGUUAUGCAAAAUGUUUGUGAAUAUCCAAGACCUUCUGCUCUAGAUUUCGACAUUCCCAUCUUAGAUGUGAAGUUCACAGCCAAUGAAGACGGUGAUUCCAAGUUCUCACUAGAAGUUCUUUUAGGUGACAAGACAGAUGUUAAUGUUGAUGAAAGCACUAAUAAUGCUGUCACUAGUGAGGGAACAACUUCCACUGAUAUGAAUGAUGAAGAAUUACUGAAGUGUUUUGCAGGCGAUAGCAACACUCUGGUGGAUUUUGGAUUUUAUGCUGCAGAUACAUUCACUAAUUCAGAUGGACACAGUAAUCCGAGUAUAUCCAGCAACCACGAGGUAGUCAUCGGUCUCAUCUGAGACCUACUUUUCGCAACGUGUAUAGUUGUACUGGCAAUGCAUGUCAAUUACCAGGAGAUCCAUAUCCAUAUGAGUGGCCAGAGUUGGUGGGAACAGAGAUCAUACAUGCCAAAUACAUAGUAGAACAUACCAAUCUUCGUGUUACAGGUAUCGUGUUAAAUUAUCUGAUACAUGUUGUAAUCGUGUUUGGCUUUGCCCUGAUGAACAUGGUUUUGUUAAAUAUCUUCCCAAAGUCUGUUGAUAAAAUCAGAGCAUAUAUAUAUCGAAG
rnacentral:misc_RNA from 1 species